rnacentral:rRNA from 1 species
CGGGAGGCAGCAGUUAGGAAUCUUCCACAAUGGGCGAAAGCCUGAUGGAGCGGCGCCGCGUGAGGGAUGAAGGCCCUCGGGUUGUAAACCUCUAAAAGGGGGACGAUAAUGACGGUACCCCUUGAAAAGCACCGGCUAACUCCGUGCCAGCAGCCGCGGUAAUACGGAGGGUGCAAGCGUCAUCCGGAAUCACUGGGCGUAAAGGGCGUGUAGGCGGCCUGUUAAGUCCGUUGUUAAAGACCGGGGCUCAACCCCGGCACGGCGUUGGAUACUGGCAGGCUAGACGGCUGGAGAGGAAAGUGGAAUUACCAGUGUAGCGGUGGAAUGCGUAGAUACUGGUAGGAACACCCAUUGCGAAGGCAGCUUUCUGGACAGCCCGUGACGCUGAGGCGCGUAAGUGUGGGGAGCAAACCGGAUUAGAUACCCGGGUAGUCCACACCCUAAAC